CAUCAGCCUCCAUCGAUCUCUCAAGAGCCCGAUCUCGAACCUCCUCACCCUCCAAGCCUCCUCAAUCUCUCCGAUCUCAAGCCCUCACCCUCACCCUCCAUCUCCGAUCUCACCCUCACCCUCCAUCUCCGAUCUGAACCCUCGCCCCCGAAGCCUCCAUCUCUGAUUUCAACCCUCACCCUCACCCUCCAUCUCCGAUCUCAACCCUUGCCCUCCAAGCAUCCAUCUCUGAUCUCAACCUUCACCCUCACCCUCCAUCUCUCCGAUCUAAAGCCCUCACACUCCACCGUCAUCGCACAGGCAAAGUCCGUGUCUCUCUCUCUCUCUCUCUCUCUCUCUUUGUGAAAUCAGAAAAAGCUGAGAGAUACUCAAAUUUGAUUCUGCAAGGUACGAUGGCUGACCUCAACUGUCAUUUUCAUUUUCCAUGCAUUUUUUUUUGUAUAAUAUACCUAUGGUUGACCUCAACUCUCUCGCUUGCAUAUGGGUCUCUGAUUAUGUUAAUCUCUUGGGUCACAAGGAUCGCUGAGGACUGACUCUGAGUUUUGGAAAACUUUGUUCCCGAUAAAAUAGUUUCACUACCUACAAAAUCCAAGAAGCAGGUUGGAAGCGGAUCACACUCAAAGUCAACUGCCCCCGCUAUCUCAGAGGUACAAACAGUAAACAAGCCGUGUGAAAAUUUCAUCCAGACUAGGCAUCAAAAACUGACAUUCGCUAGCAGUUGUUGGAUGCAGGAAUGGGAAAGAAACGCCGAUUGUCACUUGUACAAGUUGGCAAAGGACCCUCACGUUCACGACAGAGGGGGGAGGAGCUGGAAGCCACCCAUACUAGUGAUGCUGGGUCACAACCCCCAGGAAUGGAAAGGGACCAUCCAUUGACGGUUGUGCAAGUUGGCCAAGGAUCGUCACGCUCACAAGACAGCGUGCAGGAGGAGUUAAGGGCCGCCUUUGCGGCUGAGCAAGCAAGAGGGGAGGGAGGAGAUGAUGAUGAUGAGACACAACCGCCUUCUCCAGAAGAUUUGGUCCAAGAAACCCCACUAUCCAGUAAUGGGCGUGCAGAAGAUUCGGUUUAGGAAACCCUAGUAUCCAGUAAUUUAAAUAAAAAGCGUGGGAUAACGCUAAUGCAGCGAAUAUGGUCUCUUCUAGCGAACAAGAAAAUUGUAUGUGGGUUAAAUGGGAGCGGCCAACCGAUUGGGGAGAGCGGGCAAACAUUCAAAAGGUGGUUGGGCACUUUUUGCAUCAGCCACGCCUAUUGCCCACUUAUGCCAAGUAAUUGGAUGCAUGUCCAUCAUAACUACAAAGAAGAUGCCUAGAUAAAGAUAGAGAAAAGGUGGAUCAUUGACCCAAAAAUUAUCAAACCAGCUAAUCAAAUGAACUGGGCAAUGCACUUACUAGGGGAAUUGAGGAAGAACCGAAGGAGCAAGUUAAAAAAGAAAUGCUACCCAAAAGAUGCGUCGAAAGAAGAUGUCAUUAAAAAGAAACUAGCUUGGGCUGACAUGCAAGACUACGACGCGCUAGUUGACUAUUGGUUUGAUUCUAAAACGCAGACAUUAAUUGAUACGAACAAGAGAAGUCGUGGGUUUCAGAAGGAUAUAGCGAGGUCGGGGCCUAUAAGUUUUGCCCAAACUACUAAGAAUAUGGUAAGAAAUGCAUUAUACAACAACUAGCCAGGUUUUAAUAUUCUACUAUUUUAAUCGAACUUGUGACA